CAGUGUCACAGCUCUUUUAUAAUUUGUCUAGCAGGUUUUCUGGUUCUUCACAAGAACCCCU
ensembl:snRNA U7 U7 small nuclear RNA